ACUCCUAGCGGGAGGCAGCAGUGGGGAAUUAUUGCCACAAUGGGCUGCAAGCCUGAUGCAGCCAUGCCGCGUGUAUGAAGAAGGCCUUCGGGUUGUAAAGUACUUUCAGCAGUGAGGAAGGUAGUGUAGUUAAUAGCUGCAUUAUUUGACGUUAGCUGCAGAAGAAGCACCGGCUAACUCCGUGCCAGCAGCCGCGGUAAUACGGAAGGGGUGCGAGCGUUAAUCGGAAUUACUGGGCGUAAAGCGCAUGCAGGUGGUUUGUUAAGUCAGAUGUGAAAGCCCGGGGCUCAACCUCCGGAAUAGCAUUUGAAACUGGCAGACUAGAGUACU
rnacentral:rRNA from 1 species